GGGGAAUAUUGGACAAUGGGGGCAACCCUGAUCCAGCCAUGCCGCGUGAGUGAUGAAGGCCUUCGGGUUGUAAAGCUCUUUUGGCGGGGACGAUGAUGACGGUACCCGCAGAAUAAGCCCCGGCUAACUACGUGCCAGCAGCCGCGGUAAUACGUAGGCAGCAAGCGUUGUUCGGAGUUACUGGGCGUAAAGAGUGCGUAGGCGGUUUUCUAAGUUCGGUGUGAAAUCUCCCGGCUUAACUGGGAGGGUGCGCCGAAGACUGGGAAGCUGGAGUGUGGGAAAGGCAGGCGGAAUUCCUGGUGUAGCGGUGAAAUGCGUAGAUAUCAGGAGGAACACCGGCGGUGUAGACGGCUUGCUAGACCAUAACUGACGCUGAGGCACGAAAGCGUGGGUAGCAAACA
rnacentral:rRNA from 1 species